rnacentral:lncRNA from 1 species
UACCUAGCUCAGCUUUAUCGUACGACUUCGUCCACGAACUCGCACAAGGCGAAUGUAUUGCGCAUGUAUGGCACAGGACUGUGGGAUAUUUGUCACCGGAAGUUUAUGUUUCGUCUGUUACCGGUGACCACUAAGGUUUACAAGGCUGACCUUACAACCCAGUUCUGUUCAGCUGAAGAGAUCACCAUAAAUGGAGGGUGUGGAGUCAAAGUUCAGCACUAACAUGGUGAAACACUUGAGAAACAUGCUCUACAAGCUUUAAGGUCAAAGAUGGGGUACUGUAGACUGCAGCACAGAUGUACUGUGACAACAUGGACAAGAUCCAAAAUAAAGUUGUCAUCUUUUCUGAUGAUCUACCCUUUAUCAGUCCUGAGUUGCCUGCAACAGAUCUCCUCUCAUAGCAUUAUCUCUUGCUGACAAUUGGCACAGAAUGGAGAAAAACUGGCCCAAGUAACAUCUCCUGGUUGUUCAGGCUAAGAUGGUAAUCAAAGCCAACCAAAGGUAGCUCCAGCAGCAAAGAACCUUACUACAGCAUACACAAGAAGAUCAGCACACAAAAAACAACGCAUUAAGAAAAUGUGGAAAAAAGAAGAAUUCCGCUCCCAUGAGUGAUACAGACUAUGAAGCUCUUUUGGAUGCAGUUCUUCAAAAGACAAAAAGUGGAAAAAAUGCUGUUCAUAUUAGUGAAAAUAAUUCAGAGGAACAAAAGAACAGAGAAACGGGGAGACAUAGCAUAUUGUUCAACUUCUGAAUCUAAGUCACAACAAAAGGAUGAUUUCUUUGAAGAGGAAAACCAGGAAUAUCCUGUAAAUUAUAAUCAAGAAAAUAAUAAAACCAGUGAGAAAGAUGAGAUAUCAACUUUAAGUGAAUAUUUAUGGGCAAACAGGCUGCACAAUAUCUAUCUUGAUGUUGACCACUGGGAAAGUUACAGCAAUCAACAUGAGCUAGUCCAGCCUUGUGGACAGGUGCUGAAUCCAGAGAGAAAUAGUGUGUGUUGAAGAUAAGAACUGGGAGAAACAGGAGGAAGAUUAUGAUGAAUCAGAGAACAUCUUAACCAGAUAUCUCCUAGGUUCUGUUGUCUGGGCUGAGGGAUGGAUAUCCUUGGCAAGUUUCAUUCAUUUUAAAGAUUUUAAUGAAGUUCUUAUUGGUGUUCUUGUACACAUGUAGUUUCUUGUGUCUACAAAAAAGUAUAUAAGCCAUAUGUUUUUGCAGAGAUCAUUACAAUUAUGUAGUAUGCAUUUUAAUUACAGGUGGCCUGGUUUAAUUGAUUCUGAUCCCAGUUGUGAUGUGUAUUGUGAAAUACCUACAGAGGAAAGUAUUCAUCCUACACAUUUUCAUGUGGUAUUUCUUGAUAAUCCUACAUUUUGAUCCUGGGUCAAAAUAUCAAGAAUCAAACCUCUUUUUGCUAGAGAUCUGGGAAUCAUUCAGUGAGGCCUUCAUGACAUGAACAAUUUUUAUUGACAUGUGUGACCUAGCGCAAACAGGUAAUGUUUAAAAGUAUAGUCGUACAAAAUUGUAUACUUAUGUUCUUAUAUUAUUGAUCGAGUCUGCACUGCUUAAUGUAAAGUUCAGAAAUUUGAGAGAAUUGUCCACUAUAAGAUAAUGAAAUCUUCAUAAAUAAAAGACUUCCUUUAUAAGCGCAUUUCUUUCUGAAAAAAAAAAUGAAAUAAAGUUCACUUAAAUGUGUCUGGGUUCUUGUUUACAAGGUUCUUUGCAGUUUUUGUAUGUAUUCAGUUACUCCCCUUUUCUGUACUGUCGGUGCAUGGUUCCUUGGAAAGUGGCAUUUUGUCUUGUUCUGCAGUAAGUUUCCGUAAUUUUCUGUUUUUGUCAUAUAACAAAAAGCCAA